AAUUAUAAUUUUUUACAAUUGAGAUGAAGAUGCCAGUACGCAAACGAGUAGGUGAAUAAAACAGGAUCCUCAUGUUCAGAUUAUCCAACCUAAACAACAAUAAUUAUGAAGACAACAACUAUUAUGAUAACUGCUCCAUGAUACCAAGAAAACUCAAGAGAGACGAGAGAUCAACAUGUGAAAAUAGUAUUAACUUUUAAUAGUAUUUUAUUAAAUUUGGAGCAGCACAAAGUUUACAGGACACUUUAUAAAAUGUUAAAUUCAAUGUUAUUACUUGUAUGAUUUAGAAGAAACAAUACCUAAGAAAAGAGCAGAAG
rnacentral:misc_RNA from 1 species